AGUGCAAAGCCCGACUCCCUUGCUAAGCUGCCUAUGCAGCUAGCGACUGCGAAACAACGAUUUAACUAGAUUUUGGUCCUUAUUGCGAGUGUUUUGCACAUUUAACACCCAGACAGAGAGCUAUUAAUUUAUCCGCUAGUCGGACGCGCCGUCGAAUAGGUGUUUUGUGGCCGAACUGGCUGCCAUAAAGCUGGCUCACUCAUCAGACUGAUGGAGGAAACGACGGCAACUUCGAUAGCGCCGCCCGCUACGAAGAAAUGCCGCAAUCGACGCUACUGUUGUGUUGUAAAUUGCGAUAAACGUGAAGGACUGAAUAACAACGUUCAGUUUUACUGAUUUCCUUUGCGAUCGUAUGAAGGGAGAAAGCCCUGACGGAGGACCGUGGCAACCAAGCGAACACUCAAGAAUCUGCAGCCACCACUUCGUUGGCAACAGAAAAAACAACAUUGCGAACCAUCCUGCAUAUGUGCCAUCGAUAUUUCCAUCUGUUAACAGACGUUCGCCGCGCUUGACUCAACAAGUGGAACCGAGAGAUUUGGCUGUUCAGUUUAACCAAACAUGUUGGUUCAUUUAUGAAUUCAAAAUCCUGUUCCGGAGCACCAUUGUAUCGCAAGCUAAUUUCUAGUUUCAGUAUUUUGUAUGUCCUGCACCGAUACAACAAGCACGUUUCACAAUGCGCCGAGCCUGCUCGACUGCAUCUUUCAAAUGUCAGCAAUAAAGUUGCUGUAGGAGCACUGCAUGAGCAAUUGCAAAGUAAUGCGCACGUGUGUAAAAACAAUGUCGUGUUUAUUUACAUUUAUUUGUGCGCAUGUGCUGCUUGAAGCGUCUGUGAAAAGUUCAAAGGUACUGAGCGAUGCUGUAGCUCCUGCGAUAGAAAGACGGGGCGCGCAGGCACUGUAGGAAGCUUAUUUUGGUAUGUUCGCACUAUGUCUGCUGCCUUGGAAAACGUUUUGUGUUUGCUGCCCUGAAAAAGGCUUUGGAAGGAUUUACUGUCUGUAAAUAAUUGCAAAAAGAUAUUACAAUAAAAUGCAUAAAAAUGUAGGAGAUACUUAAGUCUUGUGUUCAGGACAUUUUCAAUAUGAAACGAUUUGAAAUGCUUAGAUUUUUAUGAUGAUAUGCCUAUAAACAAACCUGAUGCGUA